rnacentral:rRNA from 1 species
AUUGAACGCUGGCGGAAUGCUUUACACAUGCAAGUCGAACGGCAGCACGGGGGCAACCCUGGUGGCGAGUGGCUAACGGGUGAGUAAUACAUCGGAACGUGCCCAGUCGUGGGGGAUAACGUAGCGAAAGCUACGCUAAUACCGCAUACGAACUCUGGUUGAAAGCGGGGGAUCGCAAGACCUUGCUCGAGUUGAGCGGCCGAUGGCAGAUUAGGUAGUUGGUGGGGUAAAGGCAUACCAAGCCGACGAUCUGUAGCUGGUCUGAGAGGACGACCAGCCACACUGGGACUGAGACACGGCCCAGACUCCUACGGGAGGCAGCAGUGGGGAAUUUUGGACAAUGGGCGCAAGCCUGAUCCAGCCAUUCCGCGUGCAGGAUGAAGGCCCUCGGGUUGUAAACUGCUUUUGUACGGAACGAAACGGUGUCAGCUAAUACCUGGCGCUAAUGACGGUACCGUAAGAAUAAGCACCGGCUAACUACGUGCCAGCCGCCGCCGUAAUAC